UACCUACGGGGGGCAGCAGUGAGGAAUAUUGGUCAAUGGGCGGAAGCCUGAACCAGCCAAGUCGCGUGAGGGAAUAAGGCCCUACGGGUCGUAAACCUCUUUUGCCGGGGAGCAAGGGCCGGGACGCGUCCCGGCCCGGAGAGUACCCGGAGAAAAAGCAUCGGCUAACUCCGUGCCAGCAGCCGCGGUAAUACGGAGGAUGCGAGCGUUAUCCGGAUUUAUUGGGUUUAAAGGGUGCGUAGGCGGUCCGUUAAGUCAGCGGUAAAAUUGCGGGGCUCAACCCCGUCGAGCCGUUGAAACUGGCA
rnacentral:rRNA from 1 species